rnacentral:pre_miRNA from 1 species
CAUGCAUCGGUGGGGGUCCCUCGGCUUGGCCUGCACCCUCUCACAAUUAAGGACCCCUUGAGAGAUGUCUGCAGGCCAGGCCGAGGGACCCCACCGGUGCACG